rnacentral:lncRNA from 1 species
GCCAACCCCAGCCGGACUGGAGCCCAGCCCGCCCUCGCCUGGAGCUAGCCCGGGCCCCAGCCCCUCGCCUGAGGCUAGUCCCAGCGCCAGCCCCUCACCUGAGGCUAGCCCCAGCCCGAGCCCCUCACCUGAGGCUAGCCCCAGCGCCAGCCCCUUGCCUGUGGCGAGCCCCAGCUCUAGCCCUGAGGCUAGCUCCAGCCCCUCACCUGAUGAGGCUUGUCCCAGCCCCAGCCCCUCACCUGAGGCUAGCCCCAGCCCCAGCCCCAUGCCCUCACCUGAGGCUAGCCCCAGCCCCAGCCCCUCACCUGAGGCUAGUCCCCGCCCCAGCCCCUCACCUGAGGCUAGCCCCAGCGCCAGCCCCUCGCUUGAGGCUAGCCCCAGCCCCAGCCCCUCGCCUGAGGCUAGCCCCAGCCCCAGCCCCUCGCCUGAGGCUAGCCCCAGCCUCAGCCCCUUGCCUGUGGCGAGCCCCAGCUCUAGCCCUGAGGCUAGCCCCAGCCCCUCACCUGAGGCUAGUCCCAGCCCCAGCCCCUCACCUGAGGCUAGCCCCAGCCCCAGCCCCAGGCCCUCACCUGAGGCUAGUCCCAGCCCCAGCCCGUCGCUUGAGGCUAGCCCCAGCCCCAGCCCCAGCCCUGGCCGUUCGCCUGGAGCUAGCCCUUCGCCCCGCCCUAGCCCCAGCCCUGAGGCUAGCCCCAGCCCCAGCCCUUCGCCUGUGGCUAGCCCCAGCUCUAGCCCUGAGGCUAGCCCCAGCCCCUCACCUGAGGCUAGCCCCAGCCCGAGCCCCUCACCUGAGGCUAGCCCCAGCGCCAGCCCCUUGCCUGUGGCGAGCCCCAGCUCUAGCCCUGAGGCUAGCUCCAGCCCCUCACCUGAUGAGGCUUGUCCCAGCCCCAGCCCCUCACCUGAGGCUAGCCCCAGCCCCAGCCCCAUGCCCUCACCUGAGGCUAGCCCCAGCCCCAGCCCCUCACCUGAGGCUAGUCCCCGCCCCAGCCCCUCACCUGAGGCUAGCCCCAGCGCCAGCCCCUCGCUUGAGGCUAGCCCCAGCCCCAGCCCCUCGCCUGAGGCUAGCCCCAGCCCCAGCCCCUCGCCUGAGGCUAGCCCCAGCCUCAGCCCCUUGCCUGUGGCGAGCCCCAGCUCUAGCCCUGAGGCUAGCCCCAGCCCCUCACCUGAGGCUAGUCCCAGCCCCAGCCCCUCACCUGAGGCUAGCCCCAGCCCCAGCCCCAGGCCCUCACCUGAGGCUAGUCCCAGCCCCAGCCCGUCGCUUGAGGCUAGCCCCAGCCCCAGCCCCAGCCCUGGCCGUUCGCCUGGAGCUAGCCCUUCGCCCCGCCCUAGCCCCAGCCCUGAGGCUAGCCCCAGCCCCAGCCCUUCGCCUGUGGCUAGCCCCAGCUCUAGCCCUGAGGCUAGCCCCAGCCCCUCACCUGAGGCUAGCCCCAGCCCGAGCCCCUCACCUGAGGCUAGCCCCAGCGCCAGCCCCUUGCCUGUGGCUAGCCCUAGCCCCAGCCCUGACGCUAGCCCCAGCCCCAGCCCCUCGCCUGAGGCUAGCCCGAGCCCCAGCCCCUCACCUGAGGCUAGCCCCAGCCCCAGCCCCUCACCUGAGGCUAGUCCCCGCCCUAGCCUCAGCCCUGAGGCUAGCCCCAGCCCC